UCAAGAGUACGUGAAACUGCUUAGAGGUUAAACCCGAUGAACCUGAAUAUCCAUUAUGGAAAAUUCAUCAUUAAUAAUAUAAUAUUAUUAAAUAUUAUAUAAAUAGUGUGCAAUUUUUCCAUAUAAGGACAUUGUAAUCUGUUAAUGUUAUAAAUAUUUAUCAAAAGAUCCAUUACUUAAGUUUAUUUGAAUUAGUUAUUUUCGGAUUUCUAACAUAAAAUAAAUGUGAUGGAUUUGAUAAAUCAUUGACAGAUAUAAUUAUAUAAUGUGCUUAAAUUCUUUUGAAUUUUAUCAAUGGUAAAUGAAUCUAAUGAUUUAUUUAUUUAAUUGUAUGCGCUAUUAUGAUUAACAAUGCGAUAGAUUCAGGAUACCUUCGGGACCCGUCUUGAAACACGGACCAAGGAGUCUAACAUAUGUGCAAGUCAUUGGGUAUUUUUAAUAAAACCCAAUGGCAUAAUUAACUUAACUGUUAUUUAUGGGAUUAGUUUAUAUUUUGUUAUGAAAUAUUUAUUCAAUCCCGGGGCGUUCUAUAUAGUUAUGUAUAAUAAUAUUUAUAUUAUUUAUGCCUCUAACUAGAGCGUACCUUGAGCAUAUAUGCUGUGACC
rnacentral:rRNA from 1 species